CCCUUAGAUGUUCUGGGCCGCACGCGUGCUACACUGAGUGGAUCAGCGGGUCAGGUUGCGCGAAAGUGUUUCCUAAUCUUGAAAUCCGCUCGUGAUGGGGAUUGACGGUUGCAAUUUUCCGUCAUGAACGAGGAAUACCUUGUAAGCGCGGGUCAUCAUCCCGCGCUGAAUACGUCCCUGCCCUUUGUACACACCGCCCGUCGCACCUACCGAUUGAAUGGUCCGGUGAAAUCUUCGGACCGCGCAACGCCGCAAGGUGAUGCGUGGAAAGUUGCUUAAACCUUACCAUUUAGAGGAAGGUGAAGUCGUAACA
rnacentral:rRNA from 1 species